GAAUUGGUGGUUCACUGGUAGAACUCUUGCCUUCCAUGUAGGGGACCGGAGUUUGAUUCCCGGCCAGUGUG
rnacentral:tRNA from 1 species